rnacentral:rRNA from 1 species
CGAAAGCCUGACGGAGCAACGCCGCGUGAGGGAGGAAGGCCUUAGGGUUGUAAACCCCUUUUCUUUGGGAAGAACAAAAUGACGGUACCAAAGGAAUCAGCCUCGGCUAACUCCGUGCCAGCAGCCGCGGUAAUACGGAGGAGGCAAGCGUUAUCCGGAAUGAUUGGGCGUAAAGCGUCCGCAGGUGGCAAUGUAAGUCUGCUGUCAAAACCCAGGGCUCAACUCUGGUCAGGCAGUGGAAACUACAUAGCUAGAGUUCGGUAGGGGCAAAGGGAAUUCCCGGUGUAGCGGUGAAAUGCGUAGAGAUCGGGAAGAACACCGGUGGCGAAAGCGCUCUGCUGGGCCGCAACUGACACUGAGGGACGAAAGCUAGGGGAGCG